CGAGGAGCGGAGGUUACGAGCCCGCCGGCGAGGCGGAGCUGGGGCGCCCAGCCCUGCAGGACGCCGCCGACCCGACUGUUAGGGCUGCAGAGCGGGAAGGGGAAAAGCAACCACUUUUAGACGAACGCCUCCAACUCCGGGACGGGCUGAUUGAGGUCAGUCUCCGGUCGCCUCCCCCGUGGAGCAAGACCGAGCCCCCCAGACGCGGUGCCAAGGGCCUGGGGCGAGCGCUCACAAGUGUCCCUGCGACUCCGACGGGUCCGGACGCAAGCCUGGCAACUUGUAGAGAUGCAUCAAUCAGUUUGAAACGGGAAAGAGGAAAAAAUAAUAAUAAUAAUAAUAAAAUUUUAAAAAAGAGCGAGAGCGCAGGAGCGAGUGGCACCUCCCCGAUGACUACAUCAGAAAACCUUCUCGAUCCUCCUGCAGCAGCUGCUCCUCUUUUCCCUCCUCGGGCGCAGCAGCAACAAGAGGUGAAAAGCACCAACCGAAUCCUCAAACCUCUACCGGGCGGGAAAAUAAACUUGAGCAGCAGCAGCGGCGGCGGCGGCGGCGGCAGCAGCAGCACGAGCAGCCCGGGGAGGAUGGAAAUGACUGGCGAGAAGUGCAAAGAGCGCAGACUUUCCAGGCGCUUCGGAAUGGUUUAGAAGCGUCCAGACGCCCUCCAGUGGUGGGCCUGAAGUCCGCACGCAGCGGGGGUACCGCCGGCAGCUCGGCCCGGGAUGGAGUGGGAUGGAGACCCUGGGGUCAAGAUGCAUAAAGACUGCAGGGAAAAGGAACGCGCACCUGGGCCUGGAAUUACCUGGAGGCAAUGAGCUCUUGCCUAAAAGCUGGGUCCCAUUCCUCGCUUCCAGAAAAUUUUCCUACCUGUGCUGGGAAAGGAACUCCUCUAUUUGCAACCAGGUGUAAGCUGCAACCUGCGUGAAGACAGACUCGGUGACAGACCACCCCGACAGACCAACAGCCCUGCUAAUUAAAAAAAAAAAAAAAAAAAA